rnacentral:rRNA from 1 species
UACGAAGGGGGCUAGCGUUGCUCGGAAUCACUGGGCGUAAAGGGUGCGUAGGCGGGUCUUUAAGUCAGGGGUGAAAUCCUGGAGCUCAACUCCAGAACUGCCUUUGAUACUGAAGAUCUUGAGUACGGGAGAGGAGAGUGGAAUUCCCAGUGUAGAGGUGAAAUUCGUAGAUAUUGGGAAGAACACCGGUGGCGAAGGCGGCUCUCUGGACCGUAACUGACGCUGAGGCGCGAAAGCGUGGGGAGCAAACAGG